UACGUAGGGUGCGAGCGUUGUCCGGAAUUAUUGGGCGUAAAGAGCUCGUAGGCGGUGUGUCGCGUCGGCCGUGAAAACCUGCAGCUUAACUGUGGGCUUGCGGUCGAUACGGGCAUCACUUGAGUUCGGCAGGGGAGACUGGAAUUCCUGGUGUAGCGGUGAAAUGCGCAGAUAUCAGGGAGGAACACCGGUGGCGAAGGCGGGUCUCUGGGCAACAACUGACGCUGAGGAGCG
rnacentral:rRNA from 1 species